rnacentral:rRNA from 1 species
CCCGAGUGCGGCCACUAUUAUUGGGCCUAAAGCGUCCGUAGCCGGGUUGGUAAGUCCCCCGGGAAAUCUGGUCGCUCAACGAUCAGACUGCCGGGGGAUACUGCCAGCCUAGGGACCGGGAGAGGCCGAGGGUAUUCCCGGGGUAGGGGUGAAAUCCUGUAAUCCCGGGAGGACCACCUGUGGCGAAGGCGCUCGGCUGGAACGGGUCCGACGGUGAGGGACGAAGGCCUGGGGAGCGAACCGGAUUAGAUACCCGGGUAGUCCAGGCUGUAAACGAUGCGGGCUAGGUGUCACUGGAGCUACGAGCUCUGGUGGUGCCGGAGGGAAGCCGUUAAGCCCGCCGCCUGGGAAGUACGGCCGCAAGGCUGAAACUUAAAGGAAUUGGCGGGGGAGCACUACAACGGGUGGAGCCUGCGGUUUAAUUGGAUUCAACGCCGGGAAGCUCACCGGGGGAGACAGCUGGAUGAAGGUCGGGCUAAAGACCUUACCAGACUAGCUGAGAGGUGGUGCAUGGCCGCCGUCAGUUCGUACUGUGAAGCAUCCUGUUAAGUCAGGCAACGAGCGAGACCCGCGCCCUCAGUUGCCAGCGGAUCCCUUCGGGGAUGCCGGGCACACUGGGGGGACUGCCGGCGCUAAGCCGGAGGAAGGUGCGGGCAACGGCAGGUCCGUAUGCCCCGAAUCCCCCGGGCUACACGCGGGCUACAAUGGCCGGGACAAUGGGUACCGACUCCGAAAGGAGUAGGUAAUCUCCUAAACCCGGUCUAACCUGGGAUCGAGGGCUGCAACUCGCCCUCGUGAACCUGGAAUCCGUAGUAAUCGCGUCUCAAAAUGGCGCGG